AUUGAAUAGUUUAUUUACAAAAUUGAUCCUAUGAACAAACAGAUUAAAGUUAUUCCUGCCGUCUGUAAUGUAAAUAGCUAUUACCGCAACCUAAAUUAGCUUUAAAUUGUAUCAGAUUGCAGUCCAGAUUACAAACAGCUGCUUGAUAAUCUAAUUGAGAAAACGGAGGAAUUUAGUACUUGGAACCCAGAGUGAAGAGAACAGAAUUGCUUUGGUUUCUCAAAAGUGUGUGACUGAGGGGGUGACCUGGGGUGAAGAGAAGUGGGUGGAGUCAUUACACUGGAGGAGAUGAUCUGCCCCAGCCUUUCUCAGCUGUCUUCUCGAUAAAACAAAGGGGCGAUAAAUGGAAAAAUUCAGCACUGAGUUCACUAUGCCCUGAGCUUCUCAUACGGUCAUUAAUGUGACCGGGCUAUAUCUGUGAAGCCUCCAUAGAGGCACAAAGGAAUUAGGCUAGAGUAAGGCAGCCGGCGGCCUUUGGCGUUUGGGCCGCGUGUCAUUUCCUAAAGCCCUUUUGGGUGAAAUGACAGUCGCAAUGUCUGUUGUUCGGAGGAGUGUAAUCUCACGUAUGAGAUGCAGAAUUUAAACACCAAAGCCAGGAAGCUUGGUGGGAGUGGCUGUCUUCCAAGUGCUUUUCUGUGCUGCUGUGGACGAGGCCUGGAUGUGUCAUCUGUUGGUAAAUCAAUAUCCAUAUGUGAUUUUAAGCAGCUCAAGCAUCAGCUCUUGAAAACCACCAGAAAUGCUGGGGGCAAAUUCCACCGAGCAGCAAAUAACGGAACUGCAUCCAACAACCCAGGUACCUCCCCCCCUGAGGCAUCUGGAACAUGAGGAUUAGGAGCAGCCUUUGGUUUCUGAGGUGCCCUAGAGUGGGGACUCCCGACUCCCCAAGUCUAAGAAGGCCUCAGUGAUAAGGAAAACUAGUAGGGAAAAAAAAAAAAUCAUUCCUCCUGGCUCCCUGCCACAGGCUCCUCCCUGCCAUGGGCUUACAGAUCUCACUUCCUCUCUGCCCCCCAAAGCCUGACUCCUGGUCCCAGCCCUGCUGCUCACUGGGGUGAGGCCGUGGGCUUCACUGCACCUGUAAGGGGAGAAGCUAGUCAGGAUACAGGAUCCUGGCUAUCCUGGCAGUGCUCAAGCCGAUACUGUAACUUUGUAGUGAGUUACUUAAUGCAAAGGUUUAACUUCUGAAUAAUUUAGAUAUGUGUAUUCUAACAGGGAAAUCCUGAACAUAGAACACAGGCCACACCCUCACACAGAUGGUAUCUGGCUAGCACUCUUUGGCUCGCAUUCUUUCUUGUUUGCCUUUUCAAUAGACGUUUUUAGAAGCAGUUUUCAGUUCACAGCAAAAUCAGGAGGAAAGUACAGAGUCCUCACAUUUCUAUCUUCUUCCCCAGCACAGGCAGAGCCUCCAUCAUUCUCCUGCCCCCACCGGAGCAGCACUUCUGUACGACCGACAGACCCGCAUCAACGCGGCACCACCACCCAGAGUCCACAGCUCACACGAGGGCUCGGCCUGCUGCUGCUCACUCUGUGGGUUUCACAGACAUGGAACGGCAUGGAUCCCCCAUGAAAGCCCCAUCCGGAGUUGCUUCCCCACCCUACACAUCCCCCUAUGCUCCUCCCAUUCAUCCCUCCCUUUCCCAACCCCUGGCAGCCGCUGACCGUUUUUACUGUCUCCACAGCUUUGCCUUUUCUCGACUGCCCUGCGGCUGGACUCACACAGCAGGCAGCCUUUCCAGAUUGGAGACUCACUUAGCAACAUGCGUUUAAGAUCCGUGUCUUUUCAUGGCUUAGUGGUCCAGUUCUUUUUUGUACUGAAUAGUAUCCCAGUUUCUGACCUAACACAGUUUAUCCGUUCACCUACUGAAGUGCAUCUUGGUUGCUUUCUAGUUUUGGCAAUUAUAAAUAAAGCUAUAAAGUUGCUGUCAACAUCUGUGUGCACAUUUCCUCGUGGAAGUAAACUUUCAGCUGCUCUGAGUAAAUGUCCAGGACUGUGAUUUGCUUCUGUGGUCGGAGUGUUUAGUUCCACGGAAAACUGCCACGCUGCCUCCCACAGCAGCUGCCUCCCACAGCAGCUGCCUCCCACAGCAGCUGCCUCCCACAGCAGCUGCCUCCCACAGCAGCUGCCUCCCACAGCAGCUGCCUCCCACAGCAGCUGCCUCCCACAGCAGCUGCCUCCCACAGCAGCUGCCUCCCACAGCAGCUGCCUCCCACAGCAGCUGCCUCCCACAGCAGCUGCCUCCCACAGCAGCUGCCUCCCACAGCAGCUGCCCCACUUCCCCCAGCGAUGAGUGAGGGUCCCGAUGCCCACACAUCCACCAGCACGCGAUGGUGUCAGAGUUCCAGUAUUGACCAGGCUGCUGGGUGUACAGUGGUGCCUCGCUCUAUGACAUAAGAUGCGGGCCAUCUUUCCACUUAUAGAUUUGCCAUCUGUAUAUCUUCUUUGUUGGGGUAUCUGUCCAGGUCUCUUUUCCAUUUUUAAUCAGGUUGUUAAUUUUCUUGUUGAGUUUUGAGAGUUCCUUGCAUGGUUUGGAUAACAGCCUUUAUCAGAUGAGUCUUCUACAGAUACGUUCUCGUCUGUGGCCUGCCCUCUCAUGCUCCUGAGACACUGUUUUAUUUUAAAAAACACUUUAGACAGAAGAUGGACCUCCCAGCCCACCACAGUUCUCAUUUUGGCCGUGGUCACCACCCUCCCAGCCCUGGUUUCCACCUUUCCACGAUCUGCUUGUCCUAUGGGGGUUUCUCCAUACGAAGUCCCUAACAUAUCUCCAAUGAUGGCAACAUAAAAGCAGGCAGUUUGCAGGUAGGAAGGAGCUGAUGGAGGCCGGAGCAGAGUGUGAAGGCCAGCGGCUUCAUCCCUCAGGGACAAGCAGGCCUCUCAGAUGUCCCUCUGGGUCACCUCCCAAAUGAAGUACCUGCCUUGGCCAUGGGCAGGAAGCAGGACCUGGCCCAGAUCCCAAUAUAUUUGACCUGGCACGACAUUUACAGGUGAGCCUCCGUAACCGGAAACUCUACUCUGGGGAGAACACAUUUUCAUUAUCAAGGCUUUAAAUUAAUAAACCAAAGAGCACUGCCUGGAGUGAGGGUGCAGGGACUCUGCAUGACCCACACGCUCAUUUCCACCUGGCGCAAAGGACCCUGGAGUGAGGGUGCAGUGCCUGCUCUCAGUCACCAGCACACUCGUCGUUUCUACAUAAAGAACUCUGUGAGUCUGUCCCAGGACUUUUUAGCCUAGACUUAAAAAUUCACAGCCCAGGAAACCCUAACCAUUUUAGGAACCUGAGGGGUGGGCCAAGGGGAUCUCAGAGUUGGGUGCUGGCCGUGGGGUCAGGAAAGUGUGGCUGGGGCUUUCCGCAAGUACUCCCGGGAUGCCGUGCACUGGCCCGAGGCUCGUUCCACCUCCUGUCCUAGGUUCCCAUGCCCAGCAGUGACAGGAGCCCUCCUCCUUCCGGAGCAGUCCCUGGUUCCAGGCCCCUGGUGGGGCAGCUUUGACGCAGGGAGGGCUUGGACUGGAGACAGCCUGGAGCUCUAGGUAAUCUUGGCAACCACCUGCUUCCCGAAGUGGCUGCAGAAAAACUCCUGCUUCCAAAACCUCGCACGGGCUGUGUGAGGCCUGGAACAUGGGAGGCACACUUCGCAGGGUCCCUGUUCAGAUGCAAAAGCAAGGCUAAGAGCAGGAAAAUUAUUCAAUUACCCUCUUGCUCAUCAAAUAAAGUCAUAGUCACUUAGACCUCUGUGUGACUAGAAGUAUACACAUUAUAGAAGUGUAUAUAAAUGUAAAUACAGACAUGCUUCUUUUCCUUUUACAUACCUUACAUAUAUAUGUAUACGUGCAUAUGUAUAAAACAUUGAUGAUAAACCCUAGUUAAGAUUUCAGUUCUCAGUCACAAAGAUUUCAGAAGCAAAUUACUAUCCUUAAAUUCUAAACUAAGACGUAACAUUUUACAUUCUUGCGAACAAAAUGUUCUCUAUUAGCAUUUUAUUUUAAAAACUAAGAUUUCUAUUUUAAAUAAUCACUUUCACUGAGAGAUUCUAUAACUUGCUACACCUUGAUUUCCAACAAUAGCUCCUUAGUUUAAGAAAAACUGCUCUACGGGCCUUUUGAUACUUUAAAGCGUAAUGAUAUCUAUCUCUCUAUACCCAAGAAUAGAAAGAUGCCCGUGCAGAUGUUUCUGAAGCAAUUCAGAUGAGAUGGUCUAGACACACAGUUUAAGACCAUCACAUUUUCAAGAAAAAAAGAGAAAGAAUCACAUUUUCAAGGGCAGAAGAUCAAGAUCAAAUCCAGGAUGUUCUGAAGGGGUCACCUUAUAUUUAAAUUAUUUCAUGUAUUUGUAACUUGGGUGGAACAGGACAUCCUUUAGGAUAACCAAAUAAUGCAUCACAGCCCUUAAAACUCGCAGCAUAAUAUCUCUUUUGUUUUAAAUACACUUAAUUUUGUCACUUUUUCAUUUUAUAAUUUCAAGAUUUCUAAAGCUCCUAAAGCCUCAAAUCGAGAAUUUGACUUUGGCAAUUCCCAAAGUCACAAGCAGGUUGUAUGUCCACAGCUAUUUGGAAUGUGGUUUCUGAUGGAAGCUUCUAUGAAUGCACAUGAAAUCCCUCUGGACUGCAAAGACUGACUCAGCGUGUCUCAGAAUGAAAAUAUAUACGUUUGUGAUGGACAACAGAACAGAUCCUAAUUACUAAAACAACAGGAAAGUCUACAGCACUUCUCAUACAGAACGAAUGCAAAAUGUUUGAGGAAAAGUCUUUCCAACUGAAAAUAUCAGAGCUGAUUGGAACAAAGAAGAUUCUG
ensembl:lncRNA